rnacentral:rRNA from 1 species
CAGCCGCCGCGGUAAUACCGGCGGCCCGAGUGGCGGUCACUAUUAUUGGGCUUAAAGCGUCCGUAGCCGGGUUGGGAAGUCCUCCGGGAAAUCUGGCCGCUUAAAGGUCAGAAUGCCGGAGGAUACUCCCAGCCUAGGGACCGGGGGAGGCCGAGGGGAUUCCCGGGGUAGGGGGGGAAUCCUAUAAUCCCGGGAGGACCACCUGUGGCGAAGGCGCUCGGCUGGAACGCGUCCGACGGUGAGGGACGAAGGCCAGGGGAGCAAACCGGAUUAGAUACCCGGGUAGUCCUGGCUGUAAACGAUGCGGACUUUGUGUCGGACAAGCUAUGAGCUUGUCCGGUGCCGGAGGGAAACCGUUAAGUCCGCCGCCUGGGGAGUACGGCCGCAAGGCUGAAACUUAAAGGAAUUGGCGGG